rnacentral:tRNA from 1 species
AGAGAGAUGGCAGAGUGGUUGAAUGCGGCGGUCUUGAAAACCGUUGUGGGCUUGCGCUCACCGGGGGUUCGAAUCCCUCUCUCUCUG